ensembl:lncRNA novel transcript
AUCUUUUGAUUUAUAUUUAUUACAUAAACAAUUCUAGCAACCUCAUUUCUUAUCUUCCCUUCUGUUAACUCAGAGACGUCCCCUGUUUAUUUUUUUUUCUUGGUAGUUUUCUGAGCUGUUCAAUCUUUCAGACAACCAGCUUGUGUCUGAACAUAUGUAUGUGUGUGUGACGCAUGCACAUGUCACAGAGUGAGCUGUUGUGUGUGCAUAUGUGUGCGUGUAGAUGGUUGAGAGGCACCAAUGACAGGCUGUCUGGGUGCAAGCAGGCCAAGCCCCACUCCUCAAGAUGGAGGAGGAGCUGCUGCUCCCGGUGGGGACUCCCCAGUAGGCCACUGGGGGAAGCCCCACGACCCAGACAGCAGGUGGAGAGCAGCAGCUGGCCGGAGAUCGACUUCAGCGAGAAACUGUGCGGAGCUCCAGCAGCUGGACUUCCUGGAGCAGAAGAGCCGCUGAACCCCGCCCCUGCUGAUCUCACUGCACACAGCCUAGGGCCCCACCCGCCGAGGACUCCAGAACCUUCUCCUACCAGCUCGCCCAGAGACCAAGCCAAGAGAGUGGUCUCUGAGGAGCCCGCUAGAAAGGCAAGGCGAGGCCCGCAGAGAAGGAUGCCAAGCCUGUAGAAGCAGAGACGUCGGGGAUGGGGGACCUGCCCUGGGCGCCGCCAGAGGCCCAAGCGCCCAGCACCGCAGGAGCUGGAGACGUCGCUGAGCACCAGGUGGCGCCGGCGCGGUUCCUACAGGGAGCCUGGAGGCAGGCUGCGGGGUGGCUGUGCCGGGAGACUGGAGCGGCUCCUGGCUCCGCGCAGGCAGGGCCCCCAGAGACAGCUCAUGCAGCAGAUCCGCAGCCCCGGGGCCCUCAGGCACCGCCGCGGCUGCCGCCCUCGCUCAGUCCCGAGCGCGUCCACCCUGGCCAGCCAGCUGCCCCCGCUGAACCUGCGCCGGGCGCUCCGGCUCUCCGUUCGGGCCCCAGCCAACCCCGCGGGCUCAGGCUCCCAGUUCCUGUCCCAGCCUGCGCCGGCUCCAGCGCCCCCGGCUCUCCAGCUGCUCUUCCCGACUCCUAUCCUUGGCCGCCCCCAGCGCGGAACCGACCCGCGACCCUACCGCCAACAUCGCGGGUCUCGCCUCUCGCAGCCUUUUUGGCGUCCGCGCCUCAGCGUUGAAGCCAGGGCCCCUCGUGAGCUCGGCGCCCAGCCUGUCAAGUCCUCUUCUGCCUCAGCUCUCACAGCAGUGUCUUCCCCGCCUGCUGGUCGGCAUCGCGCCACAGCCAAUGUCUCCUGUUGCUGUCCGCCCCCGCGAAGCGCUGCAAGGGCCAGCGCCCAACCUGUCGCUGCGGAAGACCGGGGCAUAGAACCUGUCCUGGUGCUGGGCAAGCGCUUCCGCCCCAAGUCCCCGACCUGGGCAACCUGGAGGAGCCCAGGGAAUAGCGCUCAGGACCCAGAGGCUGGACAGCCAGCCCGCCCGCCCGUCCCUGGCCACGAGGCGCCCCGGACCUGACCACCGCCCCCGCCACCUCCGCCGGUGGGCAAGGAGGGUCCCCUUUCAGCCUGCAGUUCCUCAGCAGAGAGGAGGGCCCUCCGCAGGCCCGCGCCCGGUCCCACACUGGGGAGAAGCCGUUCAGCGGCGCCAUCUGCGGUAGGGCCUUCACCACUAAGGGCAACCUCCAGGUACACUUGGCACUCACAUGUGGAAUAACCACCCUCACAACCUCCCCCAAGGCGAGCUGCCGCGGUGGAACAGUCCAUGGCUCUGCUAGGGGAUGAUGGCCUGAAGUUCUCUGAAAUAUUCCGGAAGGAUCUGACAGCCCAAAUAAUGAAUGGCGACCCCAAUAUUUGGAACCAGGAAGCUGCAGCUCACCCCCAGGAGCUUCCCAUAAAGAACAAUGAGAUUUCCAUCAUUCAGAACAGAGGCUUUUCCCAGAUCCCAGGAAGUUUUGGCUGCUGCACCAUCCCUCUGGGUACCCUGGGGUGCAAAGAGCGCAAAAUAGCCCUCCCAUUGUCAGUCUGGACAACGCACCUCAGCAGCCUGCAUAGCAGGCAGCGUCCAUUCGCCAGGUUACCCAGGAGAACAAGGAGAUGGUCUAAACUAGCUCAACACACGGGACUCGCGUCCUUCAACAGUGAGUCUGACUGUUCUUGAGAACUCUGCAACCUUUUAAGUGAAAAAAAAAGGUGAUUGCAAAACGGCCUCAGGAACAGAAAGAGCCCAGGCAAUCCUCACUUCUUUUCUACUAAAACCCAGUAAUCCCUAGAGGGAGAAAGGGCGUCUCCUGCAGUAUUCCACUGAAACUCGCUGGUUUUGCUCGAAUUAGACACUUGAACUAUGUUUUUAGAACUCUUCAUCUUAAAAGAAGUGGUUUAGUAGUCCAAAUGCUGUGUAUUAUGACAGUGUCUUCCUCUGACGUAUUUAUAAUGUUAAGAUUAUGUGGGCAACAGACAAUAUAAUAACCCUAACCUUAAAUGAAGUUUAUCUACUUCUGAAUAAA